rnacentral:rRNA from 1 species
ACGCACUGGAAGCACGGCGGCAUCGUAGGCGUGACCGGAUAUGGCGGCGGCGUGAUCGGCCGGUAUUCCGACAGUCCGGAAAGAUUCCCGGGCGUGGCCGAGUUCCAUACGGUGCGCGUGAACCAGCCCAGUGGUUGGUUCUACUCCACCAAGGCACUCCGCGAGAUUUGCGACAUCUGGGACAAGUACGGUAGCGGCCUGACCAAUCUCCACGGCUCCACCGGAGACAUUAUCCUGCUGGGAACCACCACCGCCAACCUGCAACCCUGCUUUGACGACCUCAGUGAGCACGGCUACGACCUGGGCGGUUCCGGAUCGGCGUUGCGGACUCCCAGCUGUUGCGCGGGCCCGGCGCGCUGCGAGGUCUCUUGCAUCGACACUCUGGACAUCUGCCACAGCCUGACCCUCGAGUUUCAGGACGAGCUCCAUCGUCCCAUGUGGCCCUAUAAGUUCAAGAUCAAGGUUUCGGGUUGCGGCAACGACUGCGUGGCAGCCAUUCCGCGGGCCGAUUUCGCCAUUGUGGGCACCUGGCGGGAUGCCCUCCGCAUCGACCAGGAUGCCGUGCGCGAAUACGCCGAGGAGGGCUUCGACAUCCAGGGCAAGGUGGUGGACCGCUGUCCGACCAAAGCGCUGUCCUACGAUCCCGCGGCGAAACAGCUCUCCGUGCGCGUGGAGGACUGCGUACGCUGCGUCCACUGCAUCAACAAGAUGCCCAAGGCCAUCAGUCCCGGCCUGGAUCGGGGUGCCACGCUGCUGAUCGACGGCAAGGCUACCAUCCUGCAGAGCGCCUUCCUGUCCUGGGUCAUCGUACCCUUUCAUGAAGAUGGAG